rnacentral:rRNA from 1 species
AGAGUUUGAUCAUGGCUCAAGAACGAACGCUGGCGGCAGGCUUAACACAUGCAAGUCGAACGGUUGUAGCAAUACAGCAGUGGCGCACGGGUGAGUAACGCGUGGAUAUCUGCCUUUGGUUCGGAAUAACUCCGGGAAACUGGAGCUAAUACCGGAUGGUUCCUGCGGGAUAAAGAUUUAUCGCCAAAAGAUGAGUCCGCGUACGAUUAGCUAGUUGGUGAGGUAAUGGCUCACCAAGGCGACGAUCGUUAGCUGGUCUGAGAGGACGAUCAGCCACACUGGGACUGAGACACGGCCCAGACUCCUACGGGAGGCAGCAGUGGGGAAUAUUGAACAAUGGGGGCAACCCUGAUCCAGCCAUGCCGCGUGAGUGAUGAAGGCCUUCGGGUUGUAAAGCUCUUUUGGCGGGGACGAUGAUGACGGUACCCGCAGAAUAAGCCCCGGCUAACUUCGUG